GGCGGCUACCUCCAAGUGCAGCUGGUGGAGCUAUUUGCAGCUCUCCACAUCCUGAGAGCUGGAUGCGGGGGCCUGCUCCAGAGAGCCUUCUUCAAGGCUAAGAACAAUGCCCAGCUCUUGGAUCAAGGAGUGAUGAACCCAGUACCAGUCAAUGCUUACUAAUGGAAAGCGUGAGCAGUGGGGCAGCUGGGACAGCAACCAAGGCCCAUGUGGGGCGGCAGCAUUGCAAGCGUUGGCUUAACCUGUGUGCUGCCCCACUAGCUCCGAGGACUCCCAUCCAAAGACGGAUGUUUCCGGGGCAGGCUUUUGG